UACGUAGGGGGCAAGCGUUGUCCGGAAUCAUUGGGCGUAAAGAGCGUGUAGGCGGCCAGAUAAGUCCGCUGUGAAAUCUCGAGGCUCAACUUCGAGCUGUCGGUGGAAACUGUCUGGCUAGAGUCCGGAAGAGGAGAAUGGAAUUCCUGGUGUAGCGGUGAAAUGCGCAGAUAUCAGGAAGAACACCCGUGGCGAAGGCGGGUCUCUGGGACGGUACUGACGCUGAGACGCGAAAGCGUGGGAGCAACAGG
rnacentral:rRNA from 1 species